GGGGCUGUAGCUCAGUGGCAGAGGGCUUGCCUAGCAUAUCAAGAGGUCUAUGAGGCAUCGGGUUCAAUCCUUAGCACCA
rnacentral:tRNA from 1 species